rnacentral:lncRNA from 1 species
AAUUUUUCUCAAUCUCAUCUCAUUAGGAAAAGUAUCCUUCCAUUGUGAAGUCAGCACUUUUCCCACCUGGCAUCCCUGCUCUCCUAUACGUGGAAAUGGUUUCUAAUCUUCCUCCCAGGCCAGCAGCCCUUCUCCAAGUCUUCAGGCAACUACCACGUGCCAGCUGGCAGGGAGCACCUGAAGUAAGAGACUCUUCUCAGGGAAAGAAAAUCAUAAAGUCCCCACACAAGACAGAACCUCUGAGGAAUAAAGGAGUAAAUAAGAAAGGCAGCCAAC